rnacentral:rRNA from 1 species
ACCUCAAGUCAAGUAAGAGUACCCGCUGAACUUAAGCAUAUCAAUAAGCGGAGGAAAAGAAACUAACAAGGAUUUCCUUAGUAACGGCGAGUGAAGUGGGAAAAGCUCAAAUUUUAAAUCACCAAGGUUUCUUUGGUGAAUUGUAAUUUGAAGAAAGUCGUUUUGAUAUUCGGGUUUUAUCCAAGUCCUUUGGGAUAAGGUAUCAUAGAGGGUGAGAAUCCCGUUCAUGAUUAAACCUUGAUGUCACUUAAUUCACUUUCUAAGAGUCGAGUUGUUUGGGAUUGCAGCUCAAAAUGGGUGGUAAAUUUCACCUAAGGCUAAAUAUAUGCAAGAGACCGAUAGCGAACAAGUACCGUGAGGGAAAGAUGAAAAGAACUUUGAAAAGAGAGUUAAAUAGUACGUGAAAUUGUUGAAAGGGAAACGAUUGAAGUCAGUCAUGCUAGUAGGGAAUCAACUUGAUGGAUCGUAGGACUUAUCUUAUGAUCUUUCUUGUGCACUUUCUUGCUUGGCAGGUUAGCAUCAAUUUCGAGUAUCAUUAAAAAAUCGAGGGAAUGUAGCUUUCUUUCGGGAAAGUGUUAUAGACCUUGAUAAAAUGUGGUGACCGAGAUUGAGGAUUGCAGCGGAUACCUCUUAAGGCUAGUCACCUUGCUUCUGACGGUUACCCUGCUUUCGAGAGCUCGCUCACGAUUGUGGGAUUCAACAGUCUAGAUGUUAGAGUGAUCUUAAAUUCGCUAAGGAUGCUGACGUAAUGGCUUUAAACGACCCGUCUUGAAACACGGACCAAGGAGUCUAACAUAUGUGCGAGUGUU